GCGAAUGAGAUGUCAAGUCUUUCGUAUUGUGUUGAGUACAUUGAAUGCGUCUAAUUGUACUUAGAUGGGAACUCCAUCUGUUAACACAUAUUUGUCAUCUUGCUUUAGACAAAACAACGGAUCUCUCUUUAGAGCAAAGACCUUGACUAAUCAUGGGAGUAUAUGUAGGCCUCACUAGUUAUAGAGCGCCUAAGCCAAUUGAUGGAAAAUCAUCAUCAAUACAGUCAUCGAGUGCCUUAUCGAGACCAUGUCGUCCCAAGAUCUUUUUCUUCGGAUGUUGAUACAUAUUGGCAUCUCUUGAUCCAUCAAGAGUCCAUGUAAAUCCGGAAUGAACACGCAAAGGCAUAAUUCACCAUAUCCCUUCCAAAUCAAGUAGAGUCCAUGUGCGUUUCAAUACAUUUAGCAAACGCAUGCUCCUAUGCUCAGAUGAAUGAAGUCUGUUUAAGACCUUCAUGUAUGUCUCUGAUCCCAUAGAGAUGUUAUUAUGACCACAUUCAUAGGCUGCAUGUUCAGUUAUUCGGAAACUACCAAACUGACAAAGUAGUGGAGUUCAAUGACAUCAAUUACGAGAGCAUAUCUCAUCGUAGUUGAUCCCAGUGCGUGUUAGUGAGAGACCUUGCACCAUAAGGUGAGUCUAAGCUCUUGUUCUCACUACGCUAUCUAACAAAGGUAUAGUUGAUAGGGUUUAGCUUGCGGUGUCGGCAUCACCUGCCCAAGGACCUAUCUCUUUGUUAAUGCUGGAUCGCAUCUUUCCAUUAGGCCAAUCAACUAAGUUGAUAUCCAUCAACGAAGGGUGGUUCGAUAGUAGACUCAUUAUCCCACAUCCUCAUAUACACUAGUGUAAUACUUGUAGAGAUCUCUAUAUGGAUUGGAUUUGACAUUGAGGCGUCCCCCAACGAUAAUCACAAUUCAGACUUCAUGAGACGAAUUUGAGUAUCACUGAUCAAUGGAUCAGGUCGUGCCAAGCUCGCUUUCUUUCUAGUGCGAGACAAUAUCGAACCUAAGGGCCUCCCUCCUUUUAGGGAGCAACACGGCCUUGUGACACCAAUUUUGCCACUAUAUGGCGUCACCAUAUCACCAUCCAUGGUGAUGGCGUCAAGACCAACACUUUUUGGUCGCGCCAUGUCCUUUUGUAGGACAUCAAUCCUUGCAGACAUAUUUGCAGCAUGUGAUCUCGUCACUUUAACACUACAAGCAUUUGGGAUCAAGAUGAGACUUAGUGGGGACAAACCACGACAAUUCACGUCGUUCCACUUGAACACUUGUGUUCUUAUCUCCCCCUAACGGCGGGAAUAUUGUCUCAUCAAAGUGACAAUCCGCAAUUUAGCGGUGAAUUACAUCGCCCGACAAGGUUCCUACAUAUGCGGAUUAUAGGUGGAGGUUCAUAUCCAACCUAAACUUAUUCAUCUCAAAUGACCCAUCAUUGUACGUAGUGGCAAUGCGAUUUGGCACCUAAAAAUAACAUCUAGCCGAGCUCAAGGAUUGGAGAUCCGUUUCAAUCCUGCCGAGCUCAAGGAUUGCAAUUUCGUGUCAAUCCUGGUACACAGUCAUGAGCUGUAGUACAACAAAAUUUAAUGAUGGUGAGUCGUAGAUGAAUAGUAAAGCUGCAUGCAAAUAUUGCAUAGCCCCAAGACACAAUAGAAAGAGUGGUGCGCAUCAAUAAUGUUCGAGCGACAGGCUAAAGUUGUUUGGUCGUAGCCUCGGUGAGACCGUAUUGCGUGUGAACAUGGGGUACAGGACACUUCAACUUACAUCCCGAUAAACUUCUUUAAAGAAUGGGUAGUGAGCCCGUAGAAGUAUAAGCAGCAUCAACAGUAAAUAAUAGUGUAACACGUGACCAGUGUUAACACUUCAACCAACACCAUAAAGCAUAAAAAGGUGUCCGCAAGUUGGUUGUAUCUAUCUACAUAGUUUGAUGUAAGAAUAGAAUGUUCACUUUUGUGUUAUUUAGCGUAGGAGGGUCUCACUCCUUAUUUAGCUAAAGAAUAGGCUUUCAAAAUGAGCAAUGAGCAUUGCAGGGGGCCAAUGCGACAUCGAUGAAAGACUGGUGCACCUCAAUUGCUUGAGGAAUUGACCGGACGACCUCCAGGAAGUUGGAGUCGUAUUUGGGUGACGUCAAUGUCCCCCGGGUCACCACCAUGCUUCAUGGUGAUGCUAGAUCUCGAAUGUCUUCGUUUUGAGCGGAAGAAUGGAUGUCCAUGAGAAUUUCUCAAAAUUUGGACCAUUAUAUCUCUUCCAGGUUGACCAAUUUGAUCAAACCAAAGCCUAUAUGAGUCGGUGUCCCAAAUAUCAUGUUUGGCGACAAUAUGGGAUUCGAUAUUCGAAUCGUAGUGACAUACAGUUCACUAGAUUGACUCAUGAAUUUCUCCAAGAUGCGCUUCAGUUCGCAUUCAUGAGGAGGUAUACACAAAAGAAUUCUUAAUCAUUCUCACAAUGUGUUUCAAUGAAACCAAUUAGCAUGAAUGUCUUUAAAGACUCAACAUGGUUCCUUAGAAUGUUGUGGAUAGUUCCACUAUCUUACGAAGUAACUCAAUGUCUCUAUGAGACAUAACUACAAGGAGUAGAUAGGCGAGUAAAAUAAGUUCUACUUUAAAACCAAUUUUAGAAGGAUUGAAAGAAGCUACGAAAAGCUGCAAUCCCGAGAGUGCAUAAAAAGUUUCCGCGCAGAAUGACCUUUGCGCACUAAAACAGCCAUAACUUCUUCGUUAAAAUAGAUAUGGAUGAACCGUGAAAAGUUCUGAAAACUAGACUCAUAGAGCUUUCCAAUGAUAUAAAGCUCAUUGUCUGGUUCGUCCGGAGCUGUUCACAAAGCUCAAACGAAGUUGACUGUUCAGAAGGGACAGAUUGCUGUUUUUCGCAGAUUUGGCAUGUGCGAAGCUGUGAAGCUUGCAGGUGGCGUGUAGACUUUUGCCUUAGCCAAAAGUGACGUGUGUAUNNNNN
rnacentral:lncRNA from 1 species